GCCCCCUUAGCUCAGAUGGAUAGAGCACAGGAUUCCUAAUCCUGGGGCCGUGGGUUCGAAUCCCGCAGGGGGCACCA
rnacentral:tRNA from 1 species